UACAGAGGGGGGCAAGCGUUGUUCGGAAUUAUUGGGCGUAAAGAGCUCGUAGGCGGUCUGUCGCGUCUGCUGUGAAAACUCAGGGCUUAACCCUGAGCUUGCAGUGGGUACGGGCAGACUAGAGUGCGGUAGGGAGACUGGAAUUCCUGGUGUAACAGUGAAAUGCGUAGAUAUCUGGAGGAAUACCGGUGGCGAAGGCGGCAUCCUGGACCAUUACUGACGCUGAGAAGCGAAAAGCAUGGGGAGCGAACAGG
rnacentral:rRNA from 1 species